ACGCUCAACCACAUAGCCAUUUUUAUUCACAUAACGCAAAACAGCAGUCAUUUGCUCCUUUGCAGAAAUAUCACGAGAUUCAUCAAUAAAGAUAGAAAUCAAAACAUCACAUAUCUCUCUAAUAAUAAUAUUGGUAGUUUCAACUGCAGCACAGCUUGCAGUGUCUUUUUAAAUCUCAUUUGAUGUCAUUUGAAUAUUUCCAGGAGCAUUAUUAAAAGUAACAACAUUAAUGUUUUCAUUAUGAUCAGCAAGAAAGCAUAGAAGCCCAAGAAAAUUCCCUCAGUUGCCUGAAUCUCUAAACUCAUCAUACCCAUGAAAUGCAAACCCUUAUUUUAAUAAAAACCAAAUUCAAUCAAUUGUAGCUAUCAUGUGAGCUCGAUAAUCGCUUUGAUGCUUGUCAGAAUGUCUUGUGUAAGCUGUUCGAAUGUGUUGAUUUUGAUUCAUCAACAUUUCACAUUUCUCUCUAACUUCGUUAUGGGCACUAUCAACAUCUCCCUUGUGUUCAACAAUUUUUUUCAGGUUUUCUCCAAUUUCUAAAACCUUUACCAACAAAUGAAUCACCACCCCCUUUAUUAUCAGUCUCUUCUUUAAAAAGAUAAUGAAAGAGACAAAAUGUCGUAUCUUUUUCUAUGCUAUAUUCCAACCAAGGUCUAAAUUUCCCAAACCAAUUACUAUCAAACCGCCUUUUUUGGUUUCCAAAUUCUAAAAGUUUGAAGUUGUGAUUUUUAAGUUAAAUAGGACCUCUUUGUAAGUAUACUCUUCAGACUUGAUCUUGAAUAGUAGGACUAUAACAAGAGAUUGGAAUUCGUAAACCAGGAUAUGUAGGAAGAUCUUGUAAAUUGAAUUUUUCAUCUUGAUUUGAGCUUUAUUUUGCUUUCUUUGGAGAAGGUUGUGACCAUGGUUUUCUUGAGUAAUAUUUCUCCAUAACUAUGACAAAUAAAUACAAUUAAUUGUGAGAAUUUAAAUAGAAACGAAUACAAUUUCCAUGUCAAAAUCUAAAAAAAUGAAAAUAUUACAAAAUAUUAAUUUAAUAAACCAACUACCUGACUAAAUUCCCAACCACUAAGUUACUAACCCAUCGCAGAAUCACCCAUGGAAUUGUUAUUCUAUUAUUUAUAAUCAGUAAAAUUAAAAGCAUCGCCACUUUAUCAACCCACAAAGCAUCGCCACAAUAUUCCAUUAAAAAAGGUAUAAACCAAUUCAAGAAUUAGAAUAUUAAAUCAUAAAGUGGUAGAGGUGUUUAAUUAUCAAAAUAAUUUAAUCAAAUUUUAAUAAUUAAUAUAAAAGCUGCAAAAGUGUGACGGUAGUACCAAAAAAAUGGAAAGAUGCAGUGGUGCAAGGCUUCGAGUGUGAGCUUCAAGCUGUAGCAUCUAUGGCAUGAAAACAAAGAGAUGUGAUGGCAUGAGAGUUGGACAGAGAUAGAUGACAGGUUGAUGGUAGUCGAUGGAGGUUUUCUUUGGCAAAGGAUUGAUGGUGAUGGUUAUGGAUUUGAUUUUGAGUUUUUUUUUGGAUUUUUAAUCGUUGCUUUAAAUAUUGGUCUUUUAGUUAUUUUAAAAACUUACUAAGGGCUUUAUUGUAAAUCCACUAAAAAUAAGAUGAAUUUAAUUUUUUUUUAAAUCUAGCAGGGGCUCAAGUGGUGCCGCCACUGACUGUAAUGAUGAAAUUGGAGGAGCAAGAUGAACUCAAGUAGUAGCAAUAGAGAAUCUGAGUCUGAACAGCUUCAUUCGACAACUAACGUAAGAAAAAUAAUUUUUUUGUAAUAUUUUUACUACCAACUUUUGUUUUGGGCUGUAUGUUGG
rnacentral:lncRNA from 1 species